rnacentral:rRNA from 1 species
GUGGGGAAUCUUGCGCAAUGGGCGAAAGCCUGACGCAGCCAUGCCGCGUGAAUGAUGAAGGUCUUAGGAUUGUAAAAUUCUUUCACCGGGGACGAUAAUGACGGUACCCGGAGAAGAAGCUCCGGCUAACUUCGUGCCAGCAGCCGCGGUAAUACGAAGGGGGCUAGCGUUGCUCGGAAUUACUGGGCGUAAUGGGCGCGUAGGCGGACAGCUUAGUCAGAGGUGAAAGCCCAGGGCUCAACCUUGGAAUUGCCUUUGAUACUGGCUGUCUUGAGUUUGGGAGAGGUGAGUGGAACUCCGAGUGUAGAGGUGAAAUUCGUAGAUAUUCGGAAGAACACCAGUGGCGAAGGCGACUCACUGGCCCAAUACUGACGCUGAGGCGCGAAAGCGUGGGGAGCAAACAGGAUUAGAAACCCCGGUAGUCC